AGGGAGCCUGAUAAACGGCUACCACAUCCAAGGAAG
rnacentral:rRNA from 1 species